CGUUCACUACAGCACAGCAUAGCAACGUGAGCGCGCAUCACUUCCUGUGCAUGCUGGCUGGGGGCUAUCAACUCCGACAGGACAACAGUCGGAGUCGACGAAGUCAUACAAAUAGGCAGGAGUUACGGAAUAUCUGGGCGAAUAGUCCACCAAACUGUCCGAGUUUAAUCAGCAUUUUGCUUAGUGCUGGUGAACUGGUUCAUUUGCAUUUCUUCAGGAAAAUCUGGUAUUUGGUUUCUCAAGAUUGUGGAACAUAAUGUCACCCAAUCUAAAGUAAAGACAGAACAGGUUCUGCAAUUCAGGUCCUAUAAACAUUAGUAACAAUGGAUAAGAAGAUUGUCAUCUGUUAUUGUCAUAUGUUAACGUCUGGAGCAGCACACAGACUUUAUACAGGCUUUGCUCUCCCUGUAGCUUUGUGGUGUAUAGGUCACAAAGUAGGAAAAAGCAGCAAAAUCCAAAAUGGGUCAGUGAAAUACACUAUCUCACAGAAGUGAGUACACCCCUCACAUUUUUGUAAAUAUUUUAUUUUAUCUUUUCAUGUGACAACACUGAAGAAAUGAGACUUUGCUAUAAUGUAAAGUAGUGAGUGUACAGCUUGUAUA